rnacentral:rRNA from 1 species
UACGGGGGGGGCAAGCGUUGUUCGGAAUUACUGGGCGUAAAGGGCGCGUAGGCGGCCUUCUAAGUCGGACGUGAAAUCCCUCGGCUUAACCGAGGAACUGCGUCCGAUACUGAAAGGCUUGAAUCCGGGAGAGGGAUGUGGAAUUCCAGGUGUAGCGGCGAAAUGCGUAGAUAUCUGGAGGAACACCGGUGGCGAAGGCGGCAUCCUGGACCGGCAUUGACGCUGAGGCGCGAAAGCUAGGGGAGCAAACGGG